CUUGUGAGUUUACUUUCGCCAUCGCAGUAUGAGUAAAUAGGCUAGCUUGCCGGAAAAUGAAAGGGAUCGGUUUUGGUGAAGAGAGGGGACCCACGUGUGUGCCUCGGCCUCUGCCACUGACAUCAGGUGGUGAGGAUGGAGGUCGAUAAGAGGGUGAGUGGGCCGCCAACCACUGCAGUUCAGGACUGGACAGCAUGAAAUCACCACAUAUUUUUAAGGAGACCUCAGGAUAAUUUCCUACCAUACCACAAGGCACGAGGCACCAUCAACUGUGGAGAACAGGAAAUAAGUGCCCUGCCUUUGACUCAGCGCUGUAAAAGCAAAAUAAUAGAUCACUAUCGCCGUUCCUCAAGCUGCUGCACUGAAGAAGAACAAUCAGGCAAAUGCCUUCUAUGCGAUUCCCUUGAGAUAUCAUCCUGCAGAGCUGCGCUCUCUUGUCACCAGGCAGUUCCUUCUUUGGUCUGAUCAGCUCCACAACUGCAGCUGUGACAGGUCUGCAUUUAUUUACUGUGCAUUUAACUUGUACUUAGAUAGAAUGUGAAAAUCAGAAGACUCACAUACGAAUGUAGGUAAUUGUGGGCAGUUAUGCAGUGCAGAAUAUUCCAUUGAUUUAUGAUUAAUUCAUGUUGUACCAUUAAAGUGGCUAUAGGCCUAAUCAAUAUUUUAUAUUAACAAAUGUGGCUGCAAACAACGUAAAAGCAAUGAUCAUCAUUCAGAUCUGCAGCUCGACAUGACACUUCAUGGCACUUUAUACGUAUGUUUCAACACGCAGUUGUUUUCCACGAAAUAUGGAAGAUGAACAUUUAGCAGCUAAACACCAAAUAGCUAAACAACAAAAAGAUGACUAAAAGUAAGUGAAUGAAAGCGAAAGACUGGCAUUCACUUAGGUAGUCAGAAAAGCGCCUCAAAAUACAGGACAAAAUUGCUCUGUUACUCUUGGAAGUGAAAAUAGAAAAGUUUGCAAACAAGUUCAUCAUAACAACUUGUAAAAUAAGGUGGUGAUAUGCUGCCCUCUAGUGGCCAAAAAAAGAAACAGUCAUUGCACAAUUGACAUACAAUAUUAGACGCCACAGUUCCGAAAAUUCUUCAAGUCCAUUAUUUCUAUUUUAUAACACCGUUCUUUAGAGGUUUUACAAGCACCACUGAGUUGUAAUGCCAAGUAAAUACAUGCUACUGCUAAGUUAGCAUCUGCCAUAUAAAGUAGCAUAUUUUGUAGGUUUCACAAAGCUAAAUUUGCUCGACUGGCUCUGUCAAAGGCUAAUGAAACCCAACUACCAGAGCCUCUAAAGCUCACUAAAUUUUCGGUUUUUUAUUCUUUGGCUUUUGUACAGAUUAACCAAACAAGAUAUAACAUGCUAGGACAGAGCCAGGUGUUUCUCGCUGUUUUGAGUGUUUAUGCCAAGCAAAGAUAGCAGUUGUUGGCUCCAAUCUAAGGGUUUUAUCAAUCUUGUCAUCUAACUCUCAGCAAGAUACGAACAAGUACAUUCCCAAAAUGAUGUACUAUAAUGCUUGAAAAGUGUAGCUGACUGAUUUAGAGGCUACUUUAAAUAUAGCAUAAUAUUCAUGUUAAUAAAUGUAUUGGUAUAGACGCGUCAAACAUUUCACAGAUGGCACAGAGCCU